GGCUAAGCCCUGCCUCUAUAUUUGCAUAAGGCUAAGCACUGCCUUCUAUUUGCAUGGGACUAAGCCCUGUCCCGCAUUUUGCAUGAGGCUAAACCCUGCCUCCUUAUUUGCAUAAGGCUAAGCACUGUCUUCUCAUGGGACUAAGCAUUGUCCCUCCUUGCAUAAAUGUUGCUCUAUUCUGGAACUAUUUAUUUACUCUUCUGUCGGGCUAAGCUCUGCCCUCCAUUUCACAAGACAAAGCCUUGUCUUGUUAACAUCAUGUUAUUGCAUCUCAUGGGCUAAAAUAUUUCCAAUCUUUCCAAAGGCGUCAUAGUCUAAAGGCAUCAUCCUCAUAGCCGGAAGACACCGUGCCAUGGCCUGAGGAUCUCUCAAAUUUGCAUAUCACUAUUCAAAGGCGUCAUGGUUUGGAGGCACCAUUUUCAUGGCCCGAGAACAUCAUUUCAUGGCCCGUGAAUCUCUUAUCUAGACAAUUCAUGGCCCAGGACAUCAUGGUCUAAGGACGUCAUCCUUAACCGUCCAAAGACAACUCUCAUGAUUCGAAAGGAAUCUGCAUCAUGUUUAAAUUUUCACACAAAUACAUGUUCGUAGCAUCUCUUUAUCUGCAGGUGACCAAUAAGCAACCGCUAUCCCAGCAUGAGCGACCUCGCUCCAGUUCCUUCAACUAUCUCAAACUUGACCUCACCAUAGCCAUUCUUUCAUCCAUCUCGAAAUUUCGUGUCCGUUCUUGUAAUGACUUCAUCGGUACAUUCCGUCGAUGGAUCUGGAACUAUACAUGGCCUGAUUCUUGUAAAACCAGGGGUAUAUAGGUAGCUCGAAAACUAGAGUCCGGCCUCUAGUGUUUUUAAAACAUCACAUUCGAUCAAAAUUGGCCAUUAUUUCUUUAUCCGAAAACUCUUUCAUCCUUCUCGGGUAAAGAGGGGCAGCUGUUGAUACCCAAUUUUUCCCUAUAAUAUUUUUUUAAAAUCCUUAUAUAACCUUAAAACUAUGCAUUGGCAUCAAUGGGUAUUUUUUUCAUAAUUUUUACAUUUUUUAAUUAAUUUAUAUCAAUAUUUUCUUUAUAUAAAUAAUUAUAAAUUUGCAUUACAGAUAAUUUUUAAAAUAUCUCUUGAUUUAAUAUUACCAUUUAUGGCCUUAUUAAGUUCCAAUUAUUUCAUAAAUGGCCAAAUUUACACCUUUUGGUUACAAUUGCAUUGAUUUUGCAAUUAUUGCCCAUGUACACAUCACGACAUAAUUUUGCCAGAUAUUGGACCCUUAUAUUUUUAAAAUAUUGAAUAAUUAUUUUGAGGCAUUUCUAUGCAUAAAAAUUAUUUUUUUUCAUUGUUAAUUAUUUUAUAAAAUAAUUUUAUUCAAAUAUUUGGGUAUUUAACAAAUAGCCUCUUAAUCUCCCUAAUUUUCGAACCCAAAAACCGGCCCAAAUCCCUAACCCAAUUCACCCAGGCCCAAAGGCAAUUAGACCAGACCCAGACCCCUCUAAUCUUGACUGUUGAUCUCUGAGAUCAAUGGCCCAUAUUGGUUCUUCACCAUGAGUAAGAAGCCUCUCUUAUUUUGAUAUGAAUCCACGAUUUUCUAGACCUAUGUUCUCAUCUCUAAUUUACUUCUGAAAGCCCUAAAUUUUGUCUUUGAUUUUCUCAGAUCUGUACAUAUUUGAGAAGAAUCAGACCUAUUUCACAUGUUUUUCAUAAAAAAUCUUCUGGUUUUUUGAGUGAUUUUUCAUUUUUCUAAAGCUAAGAUUUCCUGGAAAUCCUUUUCUCCAAACGUUUUCUGACUUUGAAUGUUUAACCUUCUGUUCUUAUGUGCUUUUAGUCGAUUUAUGUUAAGUUUGCCUUAGCCCUAGUUGAUUCAUGCUAAAACCCCAAUUUUUGACAAUUUUUGCUUUGAUUCUAAGCUUGACCGUGUUACCUGUGCAAUGUUUCGUUCUAUGCUUUGAUUCUCAUGAUUUCUCCUUAGUCUAAUUUAAACGUCUUGUGAUUUUUACCCUAGUAUGUCUCUAUUAAGGCUUCUGACUUGAUUUCUCGACUGAUUCUGUGUGUUUAUACUUAGCCUAUUUGUGUAUUGGUGGAAACAUAUAUUAUUCUCCUUUAAAUCAGUACUAUUUUGGAUUCUUGAUUCACUGAUUUGCUCCGUAAAAACCUCGGGCUGAUUCUUGAUUAUUUAUUUAUUUGCGACCUUAUUUAGUUUCUUACCUUAUUUGAUUAACUGCAAUACUUACUGAUUCCUCAAGAUUGUUUCCUUAAUUGAACCCCUGCUUAUUUACCCUUAAUUGUCCACUAUGUACUUAAGUCUUACUCGAUUUUCUUUCUUUAAAUGUUGUCCUUCCCUUUACCGUUGGGUAAUUACCCCUUAAUUAAGGGAGACUAUACUGACUUUGUACAUAAUUGAUUCUGUUAGCUUCCUUAAUUGUUGACUGAUUGAUCUCCUUUACCUUACUCUAUUUUUCUCCCAACUACUAUAUAUACUCUCCUCUAUUCUCACUUCUGGAUAGACAUAAGCUCACAAUACACACACACUCUCAAACUAUUCUCCUUCUUUGCUACUUGUGCUAUUGUGGGUCUAGCCGGCUGAAAGCCAAGGCUAGAUAGUGGGACUAUACUUGCUCUAUAUUCUACACUCUUUUGCUUUUUUUUUUCCUCAACCGGUAUGUCUCUAGUUAAAUCUGAAGCCCAAACUCUAUGUCUUGUAUUCCUACAUUAGCUCAUUGAUUAUGAAUUUGACAUAUCCUCUCAGUUACUUCUUUGUUUAGCAUGCCUAAAUUCUGUCAUGUUCAAUGUACAACUAGUAUGUCUACCUUUCACAUGUCUAUCUGAUGUUUGAACAGCCUGUUUGUUGAUUUAUGAUUAAUCCUUUAACUAUGUGAUCAUGUUGGUUGCUUAAUAUGGUUGAUCCUACUUGUGUGUCUGAUUCUAUCCUCUAUAUAUUUUCCCCAUGUCUUAAUUGCCUACUAUCUUGAUUAAUCUGUUAAGGCUGUGAAGCUCCUAAGUGUUCUAUGCACAUUGUUGUCUACAUGUCUCCAUGCACCCUAUACAUGUACCCAAUGAGGUUCUGAUAUGUUCUCAAUCCCUUCCACCCCUGUGUGCAAACAUGCCUUCUAUAGUACUUGUGAAUCUGAACCUUCUAUGAUUUAUUGACUGUUUAUUGAAUUUGCUCUAUUCUGAACUGUUUUCAAGUGUUGUCAGUAUUCUUUUAAAAAAACUGACUUUCAUUCCUAGUAUUUUCUCAAAACUGGUCAAUUCUAGAAAAACCUUUUUCACUCCUAAACUGUUUUCACUAAGUCUUUCAAAACUAUGUCAAGCACUCUUACUUACUCUUAGGUUAUUAAGUUCUGCCCCUCUGGUAUGUGUACCGCUUAGGGAUCCUUGAGGUCUCUCUGAACUCUGGCAUAUCAGAGCUGGCUCUUCCACACUGCACAUAAUCAGUCUUUAUUUGAGAAAAGUCUGGGUAUGAGCACUGCCUUGGAUCCUUGAGGUCCUUAGGGAACUCUAACACACCUGGACACAAAUUUGGUAAUGUAACUCUUGGCAUUUGAGACUACUGAAGGCCUGGUACCCCAGGUUUGCUUUGGGCCUGCAUCAGGCUCUCUAUAGUUUAAUCUACAUUGCAUUUAUGUAAUUUAUUCCAUUCUAGUCUGUAAUAAUCAUUUGUAAACAGAUAUUUACGUAACUAGUGAAAAUGGAGGGUAGUUGUAUGAUAUUGUGGGUAAAAUUGGGUAGAAAACAUGCAAUAGGCUUUAUAUUCUGCAAAUCUGCAUUAGAAGCCAUGUUCUAGGAUUGAUGUGUUCAUUUGCAUUUAAACCAUGUUGAACAUGUGCAUUAGAUAUCCUGUCUUUAUGGCCUUCACGUUUACUGCUUCAGCAUGUUGCAUGCUCAAUUCCUGGUACUGCCACAUAGACAUCCUGUUACUAAAUGAUCUUAAUAAAACUAUCAUUCAUGUAUGCAUUAGAUACCAUAUUCUUAGGAACUCUGUUUGCAUCUGUCUGAACCACGUCUAUUUCGAUUAAAUCAAUAGUUGUCCACAAAAAGGUUUAAAACAGACUCACGCGUAGGUAUCAUGUCUCAAAACACAAGUUGAUAAAUCGCCUGUUAUGAUCUGUAUCACAUAAAUCUAGCAUGCCUAUAGGUUGAAUAAUCUCAAACUGUUUAAACAGCUCCUGCUACUAUGAUUGUGUAGAAUGCCACGCCUAGGCAAGCCUUAGAUAAUUAAUCUCCUUGUAAAACUGAAAACUGUGUUCUGAUUGUGUUUAAACUGCUUAAGUCUCACAUAUUUUGAAAAACCAGUAGGCAAACUGGUUAGGAUUCAGCCACUUCCCUUAAAACAAAUGCUGCAUGUUCUGUUCUGUGAUGUUCAUCUAGAUAUAAUGUUCCUAGGCUUUCUGAACUUAUUCAAAAUCAGCUGUUUGAGACGUGCUGUUUAUUUGCCUAUGUAUAUGUGGAGGAAAAUAUGAGCCUUUUACUUGCUUCUUUAAUUGACAGUCCCAUAUGUUAUUCGUUAUCGCCUAGACUUUUUCCUUUUAAACACCUUAGGAUUGUCUUGAACUGCCUAAGUCUAGAGGUCCUAAAUUCCUUCGGGCAAAAAGGAAGGGAUGGGUAGCAGCACGCUUAGAGGUCGUUAAUCAAACUCGCUUAUAUAACCAUUAAGGGAAGGUAAUGGGUAGUAAAAGGAUAUGAUGACUUGCGCGCUAAUGUCACGUGUAGCCCCUCUAGUUGAGUAGGAUUACCGAGCAUUGCACAGAUUGAUCAUGUAGGCUAAUCAACUUAGGACUUUCCUUUCUCAAUUCCUAUAUGUGUUUAAAUUAUCAAAAUUUCCUUUUUUUACAUAUACAUGUGUAAGCUGUCCAAACCUCUUUUACUUUCAUUAUCUGAACUCUAUUAUCUAAGCUGUCCAAACCUCUUUUACUUUCAUUAUCUAAGCUGUCCAAAUUUCCUUGAUCAUAUAUGCAUUUAGAUGGGGAAAACUACUUUAUUUGUAAAUACGUACUUACUUGUUAAUUGACUAAUUCGCAUAGUUUGAGUUCAGCUGGGACUCACCAUUGUAGACCGCGAGGGGUGCCUAACACCUUCCCCUCAAGGUUAUUUCGAGCCCUUACCCCGAUCUCUGGUAAUGCAAACUAGUUACAUGAGUUAAUCGCUCUAGGUGCCCUAACGCACCUUAAUCCGUUAGGUAGCGACUCUUCAAAUACCCAAUUCCCAAAAUUUCCCAAUGAAUAUUGAAACCCGGACUCCCCGAGGAAAAAUGGGGCGCGACACACACGAAAAAAGAAAAUGAAUUGAGAUCUUACCAUUUUAAAAAUAUGGUAAUUCAGAAUACCAUCUUAACUCUAGAAUAGAAAUCAGUGCCAUUAGAUCACUACAAAAGAUUUGCUAAAUAAGCAAAAUAAAUGACCUUUAUACACAUUUCAUCUUCUUCAAACUACAUAAUAUUCAGAAAUUGACUAAGUAAAUAUUAAAAAUACCACAUUACCUUUUGAUUCUAUUAAGCACGAUGUAGGAAGUCCAAUAAUUGAUCAAUUUUUUAUGAAAAAAAUGAAGUGUUUGAACAAUUUUUACAUCAAGCCUUAAUUUCAAACCAAUCCAAAAUGUUAUGUCAAAGAAAAAAAAGAUCAACAUCGGUAAUAGUGUUAACUCCAUCAAAUUUUAAAGCAAAAAACAAUUGAAUUUCAGCUGAUUUUUUUAAAAAAACAUAGCGAUUACAAAAUCGAUUAACAAAGAAGGAGACCUCCAAAUAUUUACAUAAUCACACAGUUUCCAAUUUACCCAAAAUCAUAAAAAGGGAAUAGAAGAAAUUAGGGCUUUUAGCAUAAGGAUGAAUUUUGGAGUGUAAGGGUAGAAAUCAAGAGGAACAAAGUCAGAGAGAAAGAAGGGUACCUAGUAGUAGCGAAAGAGAACCAAGUUCGCCGCUUAAGAAGAGUGUUGUUUCAGUUCACUGCAUCCAAACGUUUGUUGCAACUUGUCGUAGUUACCCUACUGAGCGGGAAAAGAGCGGUGGGAUAUUUCAGAGUGUUUUAACAGGAGAG
rnacentral:lncRNA from 1 species